CACGUAGUUAGCCGUCCCUUUCUGGUUAGAUACCGUCACUUAAGUAAUUUUCCACUCUACUUAACGUUCUUCUCUAACAACAGAGUUUUACGAUCCGAAAACCUUCUUCACUCACGCGGCGUUGCUCGGUCAGGGUUGCCCCCAUUGCCGAAGAUUCCCUACUGCUGCCUCCCGUAGGAGUCUGGGUCGUGUCUCAGUCCCAGUGUGGCCGAUCACCCUCUCAGGUCGGCUAUGUAUCAUCGCCUUGGUAGUCCUUUACACUACCAACUAGCUAAUACAACGCGGGAUCAUCAAGUAGUGAAGCAAUUGCUUCUUUCAAAUAAGAAUCAUGCGAUUCUCAUUGUUAUGCGGUAUUAGCGUUCGUUUCCAAACGUUGUCCCCCGCUACUCGGCAGAUUUCCCACGCGUUACUCACCCGUUCGCCGCUCUUCAUGAAAAUAGCAAGCUAUCUUCAAUCAUCGCUCGACUUGCAUGUAUUAGGCACGCCGCCAGCGUCGUCCUG
rnacentral:rRNA from 1 species